GCUGAGUGCUAGGCUCUGUGGAAGCCACAAAUGGAAAAACCAAGCGGCUUGCCACACUCUCGGAGCUUAGAGUCAUGGUAUUAACCAAAUCAGGUCCAAACAAAUGCUCCAUUGCGACUGUGGCAAGCAGUGUUCGGGAAAGACACAGGCCGCUGUGUCUGGACCCCUUAUCCAGAAGGUCUCAUCUGGGCGGUCGGGGGCGGCUUCCUGGAGGACGAGAUCUCUAAGCUCAGGACACAUCUAUCACAUGAACAUCAGCCACUAUAGAGGAUGGAGCCCACCCACCGCUUUGGAAGAUUUCCUAAGUAUAAUCUUGUAUUUUCCAUGCUUUCCUCUGAGGAACAUGCUGAUAGCACAAGUCUUUCUUCCGUGUAGAUACUGAGGGACAUUUGCUGCUAUAAAAGGAUCAUUCCCAUCCCCACUGACCACCUCUGCCAGAACCAUGGACCCAUACAGCCUUUCCCCUGAAGAAGAGAUAGGGCUCUGCUGUUUGCAUGCAAAGCUAAUGAGCAUGACACACCUCAUUUUCUAGUCCUCGCAGUGACACCCUACACCUGUCAUUCUGUGUGCCAAGCAGGGAAGACUGCGGCUGCCACAGAGAUGGGGAGGAGGUGCAGGAGGAAGGAAGAGUCUGCUUCCCUGGAACCUGCCCUGGGACUGGCCUCUCCAGAGACUCAAGUCAAAGUUUGGGACUGAAGCUGCAAAGAAGAGACACUAAGCGCCCAAAAUCUACCUCCAGCCAGGGGAUGGGCCCCAAACGUCUGCCUUCCCAGCACCUGGCUGUGAUGCUCACAGGCCUGUCCAGACUCCCUUCUG